CAGUCGCCGCGGGAAUACGGAGGGUGCAAGCGUUAAUCGGAAUUACUGGGCGUAAAGCGCACGCAGGCGGUCUGUCAAGUCAGAUGUGAAAUCCCCGGGCUUAACCUGGGAACUGCAUUUGAAACUGGCAGGCUAGAGUCUUGUAGAGGGGGGUAGAAUUCCAGGUGUAGCGGUGAAAUGCGUAGAGAUCUGGAGGAAUGCCGGUGGCGAAGGCGGCCCCCUGGACAAAGACUGACGCUCAGGUGCGAAAGCGUGGGGAGCAAACAGGAUUAGAUACCCCUGUAGUCCCUGUCUCUUAUAC
rnacentral:rRNA from 1 species